AUGGGUCACAGAAGAAUAAAUAAAUUAAAAAAGAAAAAAAAAAAAUUCUCACCUAAUGAUAAGUUCUUACCAGCUGUUUCCGGAGAUCGAACCUGGUCAUUGUGGGAAAAGCAGGGUACAAUCUCACUUGAGUUUGAGCCAGUGUUUACUCUUUUCACCUUCACCAACAAAAUUACUUCUGUGCACAGUAGAAUUAUUUGGUCUUGUGUUUGGAGUCCUGAUAUCAAGCAUUUCUUCACUGGGAGUUGAGACAAAAAGGUGGUUGUCUGGGGUGAGUGCGACUCCACUGAAGACUGUAUUGAGCACAACAUUGGCCCCUGCUCCUCAGCCCUGGACAUGGGUGGGGCUGUGACAGCUGUCAGCCUCUGCCUGGUGCUCCACCCUUCCCAACGAUAUGUGGUUGCAGUAGGAUUGGAGUGUGGGAAGAUUUGCUUAUACACCUGGAAAAAGACUAAUCAAGUUCCAGAAAUAAAUGACUGGAUCCGCUGUGUAGAAACAAGUCAAAGCCAAAGUCAUACACUUGCUAUCAGAAAAUUAUGCUGGAAGAAUUGCAGUGGAAAAACUGAACGGAAGGAAGCAGGCGGUGCAGAGUGGUUACACUUUGCAAGCUGUGGUGAAGAUGACACUGUGAAAAUAUACAGAGUCAAUAAAUAUGCACUGUAAUGGACUUAAUAACUACAUGCUAUCAGUCACUUGUAUCUUAAAAUAUUAUGUAAAUAGAUCA